rnacentral:rRNA from 1 species
UACGUAGGGGGCAAGCGUUAUCCGGAUUUACUGGGUGUAAAGGGAGCGUAGACGGCAUGGCAAGCCAGAUGUGAAAUACCGGGGCUCAACCCCGGGGCUGCCGUUGAAACCGGAGCGCUAGAAUUCCGAUGCCGUCGGAGGAAUGUGUGGUGUAGCGGUGAAAUGCAUAGAUAUCGCGCAGAACUCCGAUUGCGAAGGCAGCAUGCCGGCUCCACACUGACGCUGAGGCACGAAAGCGUGGGUAUCGAACAGG